rnacentral:rRNA from 1 species
UACGUAGGGUGCAAGCGUUGGCCGGAAUUAUUGGGCGUAAAGAGCGUGUAGGCGGCCCGAUUAGUCCGCUGUGAAAGUCCAGGGCUCAACCCUGGAAUGCCGGUGGAUACUGUCGGGCUAGAGUCCGGAAGGGGCGAGUGGAAUUCCUGGUGUAGCGGUGAAAUGCGCAGAUAUCAGGAGGAACACCAAUGGCGAAGGCAGCUCGCUGGGACGUGACUGACGCUGAGACGCGAAAGCGUGGGGAGCAAACAGG